GACGAACGCUGGCGGCGUGCCUAAUACAUGCAAGUCGAACGAACCGCGACUAGUUGCUUGCACUUGGUCAAGGUGAGUGGCGAACGGGUGAGUAACACGUGGGUAACCUACCUCAUAGUGGGGGAUAACAGUCGGAAACGACUGCUAAUACCGCAUAGGACAUAGGAUCACAUGAUCCAGUGAGGAAAGGUGGCGCAAGCUAUCGCUAAGAGAUGGACCCGCGGUGCAUUAGCUAGUUGGUAGGGUAAAGGCCUACCAAGGCGAUGAUGCAUAGCCGACCUGAGAGGGUGAUCGGCCACAUUGGGACUGAGACACGGCCCAAACUCCUACGGGAGGCAGCAGUAGGGAAUCUUCCGCAAUGGACGCAAGUCUGACGGAGCAACGCCGCGUGAGUGAAGAAGGUCUUCGGAUCGUAAAGCUCUGUUGUUAGAGAAGAACAGCGCAUAGAGUAACUGUUAUGCGUGUGACGGUAUCUAACCAGAAAGCCACGGCUAACUACGUG
rnacentral:rRNA from 1 species